rnacentral:lncRNA from 1 species
UUACCUAAUCCAAUAGAUGCAAUCAAUUCUAAAGGAUUUUCUUAUCUAUUUUUUUCAUAAAUACUAAUAAUCUUUUUAUUAUCUUUUAAUAUUCUUAAUCCUUACAAUUCUUUUUCAAUAGCACACAAUUCUUUUCUUACUUUACUUUUUUAGUCUUUAAUCUUAUUAUAUAUAAUACUUCUAUUUUCAAAAAUACCAAGAAAUCUUCUAUCAUAGGUACAUAUAUCUUGUAA